AGUGGCGCACGGGUGCGUAACGCGUGGGAAUCUGCCCUUGGGUUCGGAAUAACUUCGGGAAACUGAAGCUAAUACCGGAUGAUGACGAAAGUCCAAAGAUUUAUCGCCCAGGGAUGAGCCCGCGUAGGAUUAGCUAGUUGGUGGGGUAAAGGCUCACCAAGGCAACGAUCCUUAGCUGGUCUGAGAGGAUGAUCAGCCACACUGGGACUGAGACACGGCCCAGACUCCUACGGGAGGCAGCAGUAGGGAAUAUUGGACAAUGGGCGAAAGCCUGAUCCAGCAAUGCCGCGUGAGUGAUGAAGGCCUUAGGGUUGUAAAGCUCUUUUACCCGAGAUGAUAAUGACAGUAUCGGGAGAAUAAGCUCCGGCUAACUCCGUGCCAGCCGCCGCGGUAAUUC
rnacentral:rRNA from 1 species